UGUUAAAUGCUCAGUGGCUACGGCCACACUAA
rnacentral:sRNA from 1 species